AGAGAUGAUGAUGAUGAUUAGAGGCCCAGUGCAAUUGGAAGGAACAUCUUUACUGUGGAAGGAACAUCUUUGCUUUGUGGGCCCUGACACUGCUUUUAAAGGAUGAUUUUUACAGAUAUUCUCACAUUGGAGUCUGCAUUUUUGCACUGCCUGCACUGUGGAGCAGUAUUUGCUGUUGCUGGAAAACAAGCCCUUCCACUAACACUGGGAGAGGAAAAAACAUAUUUAUGAGAUUCAGAUGAAUUACACCACAGAAUUUAUGGAACUACUUAUUACAUUUGGUAAUGAAUCAGGGAUUUUGCAGCUUUGCAAAAGUUGUUGGAGCUCCUCCUUCACUCCUGUGCAGAUUGACUCCCCUGCAAGCAGCUGCAUUACUGAAUGACUCAAUCUCUGAAAACAGUGGGGUUUUUUGUAAAUGUUUCUUAAAUUACCUGGCAAAACACGAAGACAAAUAAGAGGCUGCUGAGGUGGAAAUGUCUUUCAGAGCUUACCCCGAGCCCUGUGCUUCCCAUCAAGGGAGGUUUCUGAGUCCGAGGGGGCUUUGCUGGGAGGGAGGAAAGGAGAGCAGCAGUUCUGCUCUCAGCCCAGCUGCAGGAACCACUGGUCCAGGCUCAGUUACAGGGAUCACUGAGGCCCUGCUGCAGUCUGCAGGGCACAGGGAAGGCUCUGCUGCCCCAGGGGUGCCCCUCAGCCAGGCUGGCCACGUGUUUGAAGGCUUCUGGAAGAAGAAUUUCACCUGCUGUUGUUUCUCCUGUUACAUAAAAGGUGAAGGAGUUUCCCAUGGGGUUGUGCUUCUCUCUCUGCCCUGCUUCAGCUGGACAAGUGUCUUGCCUUCUCCUGAAGGACAGCAGUGAUGAUCCAGUCACCAAAUGGCCAUUGUGCAAAUGGGAAAGAGAAUUUUUGCCCAGAUGAAAGAUGGAAGAUGACUGAUCACCUUCGCAGGAUAACAGGAAUAGAGAGUUUAUCAUCCAUGUCUCAUUGGCAAGAGAAUUCAAGUGUUUUUACAUUUUCUUUCUGUGAAGAUAUUGAAUAGGAGACCAUAAACCAAGCAGGUGUGGCCUUUGACCUGUAAAAUCUGCAUGAAUGAUUUUAACAUCAAGGAUGGUACAGCCUUGAGAUCCAAACUUUAAAGGAGGCUAUGAAUUAUAUCCUUAGUUAUAAAUCUUCAUGGGAUUGAUACUUGAUGGAAGACUGCAGUCUGCCACAGCACAGGGUUCAUCUGCAGCUGCUGCACCUCUGCCUGGCAUUUCAAUGUCCCUCUGAGGGACCAAACCCAAGUGUCACACAAACUGCACAGCAGGAGGCAACUGUAAAUGUUAAAGCCCUCAAACUGCUCUGCUUGCAGGGGCCUCAGCGGCACCGAGCUGAUAUUGAGACGAGCACGUAUUGAAGAGAUUUUCCCAAGUGUGCUGCUCUCCUGAGUUACAGCAGUGCUGUGGAAGUGUUUGAGAGAAGGAAACAACUCCCUGCUAUCUGCUUCUGCUUGAUCCCAGCCUUUUUGAUCUGCAGAGGCAACAACAUCUUAGAGGAGAGGAUGUCUGUAGGCUCAGGGACAGCUGGAAAAGAAAUGCUGAAUAGCGCCUGAGUAGAUGGGAGAGAUACAGGGCUGGUGAGUCUCAGCUUCACUGAUGUCUGCUAAAGGAGUGUCCAUGGGUGCCUGUCCUGCUGUGCAUUGGGAUUUUAGGGCAGGAUCAUUUGUGUGUCACUGACUCCCAGCUGGGUAGUGGGGAAAUCUGUGGUACUGGGCCACCCCUGCUGCACCGGGCACUGGUCCUGCACCAUGGGUGGCAGGAGUGCCAAGAGGAAGAGGAGUAUGGAAUCACAAGUAUGGCAAAUUUGCAUUCAGACAUUUUCUUUUGGAGCAAAUUGUAUAGGAAUGUAUAAGGAGUGCCUCAACCCUCUGUCCAUAACACCUUUGGUAUGAAAAUGUUGCUGUGCCGGUUAAUAACUGCAAUGAAUGAUGAAAUAUCUGUGCACUGAUGGGAGGAGUCAGAGAUUACUUUCAGAGAUCAGGUGAGAAGAAACUCGUUGCUCUCAAGCCCUGGAAAACAGCCAGAGGGGAGCAGUCAGGACACACUGACCCUGCAGUGAGACCCAGAGUCACCAGAUCUUCCCCGCUGAGGUUUGCACCAAGAACCCCCACAACAAAUGCCCAGGAGGGGCUGCUCAGGAGGAAAGAAACCUUCACCAAUAUGAAGUCUUUUGAACCACAGUGAGAUUUGAGCCAUUCAGGGAGCUGACUGUCCCAUCUGCAAACAAAUGGCAUGGAAAAAUUUAACUUGCCAGCCACUGAAAGCUCAUCUCUAGAUACUUCAGGAAGGAGGUUGUUCAGUGCACUGAGGGGCUGCUCCAGCAUGGGACAAAUGUUUGGACAGAGUAUGGUGAAAGUUAGCCUGUUAGCCUGUUACCCAAACCAUUUACUUGUUCCUUCCUCCUCAACACUCACCUUUGAGUUGAAUCAUGUCUCAUUUUUAUGUGAGGGUGGUUUUUUCCCCAUCUAUAUCCAUUAAGUUUCAUUCCUGUCUGCAUAUGAUAGAGAGAGGUGAAAGAGCACUGCUGAGCCCCUGAUAUGCUUUCUAAAUGUGGUUUUUAUUGCUCAAAAUCCAAUAAAUCUGCUAAGGUGAAGGAGGCUAAUGUGAGCAGUCCUGCAGGCUAGAGGCCAGCCCGGAUGCCUCACUUGUGGUGCCUGGAGAGCAUCAAGUCUGGGCCAGGAGGGACCCUCUUGCUGUGCCUUUGCUUUGCAUUUGGCUUCCUUUGGCAAUGACAUUUUUCUCAGUAUCACUGGAGGAAACACUGAUUGCUCUCCCUUCUCUGGAGGGGUUGUUUGUACCCAGAGCUGCCUCAGCAGAUUCUGCAGACUGAGCUGAUCAGUCUUUUCCUCACCAGCUCCAUCUCCAGCAGCACCUGCCUUUGUGUCCAAGUUAAGGUGUGCAAAAUGAAAUUUGACUUUGGAAUACUGUAUGAGAGAUGAUUUAAAGCAGCUUUGC